GAUUAUGAACUCAAUUAAAAUUCAAUACUGAAAAAUGCCUACUCGAUGAUUCAUUCAUUCUUCUUUAAUCCUUCCUUCGAAGCUUAGGCCUCUUGAAUUUUAUCUUUAGAAGAAAAAAAAAAAAAAAAAAAAACUUAUCUACUGUCCUUCAACCACAAAUAAAGUAAAUAAAAUAAUAAAAUUUUGGAUUUUUGUAUAAUACAACAAACAAGUCCUUGUAUUUGCACACCGACUCAACAAAAUGAAGAGAGUCUCCCCUGCAAUCUCUCCGGCCAAUAAUCCACAACAACUUCCAGAGCUUCUGUCAAAGCCCGGGAACUAUGCCUUUCAUGGAAAAAUCAUGCUGCUACUCGUCGUUGGUAUCUUCUCUAUCUUCCUUUUAUCUCUUGUGCUUCUUCCCUUUCUCAAGCACUCCCACGCCAAUACCAGUACAGAUUCCAGAUCAAGAUAUGUAGAUGCUUUCUUCUUCCGGAAAAGGAGGAUCGAUGAUGAUCCAUGAGAAGCUUUGCUUCAGUGGAAUGAUGAGAUGAGCUUAACUUCCCCUUUAUACCAAUAAUCAAGUAUUAUAUGUUUGGAAAGGAGAAUUUUCAUGGGUAUUAUUGUACAUCUUGCUAUUGAGGCUGUGAGUUUCCUCUUGCUUUUUAUUUUUUGGUUAAUUGUGGUACAUAGUUCAAGAUGCUCUUUCAAAAUCUCCUGCCGAAAGUCCUACUAUUCAUAUGGUUGUGAAUAAAUAUUAAUAUUUUACUGACAAAUGGUCCCUAGUGCUUAUAUAAGUCCUAUGAUUUUUGGCCUAUUAACUUCUUUAAUGUGAUUUAUAGCUCUUUGAAGUCAUUCAUUUUAUGAAAUAUUAGAAAAAAAAAAAAAGGGAAAUUGUCAUUUUACUUUAAAAUUUGAUAUGAGUAAUCAACAGGUACUGGUGGUUGCAGUGAUCUGCACUCGUUCAAUUUUAAAGAAGGCAUUGUUGAAUAUACCGUCAUUAACAACAAAUUGUUCUUCUCUGGUUUUGAUAGUUGAAGAUAUUAAGGCCCUUUUUAAAAUUUACUAGGAAAACUGUGGAUCAGUAUGCUCAAAAGCAUACUCUUACUUGAGCUGAUGUUUCCAUAUCAGUUUCGGAUGAAUGGAGUUUUUAUCCUCCAUCUAUCCUUUUGCAAGUUCUACUUCGAGAUUUGGAGAUUAUCUUCUUUGACAAAGGUGGUAAAAGGUUGGAGAAAAAAUUCCUUCUGGUGUUCAGAUCUGAAGAAGAACACCAUCAGCGUCCAGGAAAGUGCUACAGUUUCUUCUCAGACGUUGCAAGAUUAUGAAUGUGCAGAUUUUUUUCUCACUUUAAUGUGGCAGAAUUUAAGGUUAUUCACAAAGCUCUAGUGCAGAUUUUGUGUCUGCCUCAUCUUUGUACUAAUGCUAGUGAAAGAGCAGAAUUUGAUGUUACAUCUGUCACAGUGUCAUGUUUUGAUAAGGAGGGUAUAGCUUUCAGGGUGGUUGUGGGAUUUCAACCUUUUUGAAUUCAUUAUUUUGGAAUUAUAAUAGAAAUGGUUCUUGCUAAACAGCUUUAGUUUAGUGGCACUA